UACGGAGGGGGUUAGCGUUGUUCGGAAUUACUGGGCGUAAAGCGCUCGUAGGCGGCCUAUGAAGUCUGGUGUGAAAGCCCUCGGCUCAACCGGGGAAGUGCGCUGGAAACCAAUAGGCUCGAGUUCGGUAGGGGAUCGGGGAAUUCCUGGUGUAGCGGUGAAAUGCGUAGAUAUCAGGAGGAACACCAAUUGCGAAGGCAGCUCACUGGACCGCUAUCGACGCUGAGGGACGAAAGCGUGGGGAGCGAACAGG
rnacentral:rRNA from 1 species